UAACGCGAAGAACCUUACCAGGUCUUGACAUCUUCUGCCAAUCUAAGAGAUUAGACGUUCCCUUCGGGGACAGAAUGACAGGUGGUGCAUGGUUGUCGUCAGCUCGUGUCGUGAGAUGUUGGGUUAAGUCCCGCAACGAGCGCAACCCUUAUUAUCAGUUGCCAGCAUUCAGUUGGGCACUCUGGUGAGACUGCCGGUGACAAACCGGAGGAAGGUGGGGAUGACGUCAAAUCAUCAUGCCCCUUAUGACCUGGGCUACACACGUGCUACAAUGGACGGUACAACGAGUCGCAAAGUCGCGAGGCUAAGCUAAUCUCUUAAAGCCGUUCUCAGUUCGGAUUGUAGGCUGUAACUCGCCUACAUGAAGUCGGAAUCGCUAGUAAUCGCGGAUCAGC
rnacentral:rRNA from 1 species